rnacentral:lncRNA from 1 species
GCAAGGUCACAAAUUUGAUGACCUUACGAACAUUGUUCUCCUUAAUAACAUCCCCAGUUACCACUCCAGGCUCUUCUUUUUAAAGCCAGCUCCACUCACUCUUGCCGUACAUAUGGAACGUGGCAGAAAAUUUGUAUCACAUUUGGGGGGGGGAGCAGGGAAUUGUAUUCGCUAUUAUGCUGGUGAAAACCAGUGUUGUGUUGGCAUUCCUAAUGCCAUUGACUGACGGCACAUACACCAGCUUAAUGUAGCGGAAUAACAAAGAGAAUGCCAUAUCAAGGGCUGCAGCAUUUGUUUGUGAUUCUCUUCUUUUAUAUCCUAGUCAUUCAAACAGGCCAAGAGCCAGUAUUACUCUUCCCCAUUAUCUACUUAGAUUGUUCCUCUUAAUAAAAGGAUUUUUUUUUUAGUUUUCUAGAUGAUUUUUCCUCUGCUCCUCCCACGCCCUUCAUGGAACCCUCUUCCUUUCUCCAAGACUUCCUGUGUUGCAUUUUGGAUGCUCUCCUGAAGGAGCAGAAGCAGGUGCUAGAAGUCGACUCCUGUGAAAUGCUCAGCACCUCCAAGCAGUCAAGUGCCCUACGCUCUCAUUGACUUCAACAGGAGCUGAUCUAAAGGGAGUGGAACCAUUCCUAUUGACUUCAGUGAGCUUGGAAUUAGCACCAUGAAGGAGGCAGUGGGCAACUUUCCAGGAUUGGGCCCUAUGAGAUGAGGCAACUUUAGCAAUGUACUGGAAUGAAGGUUUGAUCCUUUAUAUGGCUGAGGUGUAGAAGAGUGGUUACAUCUAGAAUUAGAAAUCUGCCAGACCUGAUUGUAUCAUAUAUCUACGGUUACUUGGCUGCCUGGCUUCUAGAAAAUAGAAAAAUGUUAACCUAUCAGUGCAAAUCUCUUAACUUUAACUGAAAAAAUCCUUUGAAAACGAAAUAACACAUAAUAUAAACAUUAGAGAGCAUUAUUUUUCCCCUUACAACUCUAGUAUUUAUCCAUUUGUGGUAUAAUCGUUUGUUUAAUAACAAUUUUAUUAAUGAAAACAAAUACCAAACACUGUGCUAAAGCCCAGUACAGUCUUUCUCUUUAACUUGAACUAGUUGACAGUUUGUUUCCCUGUGAAGGCUUACCUAUAGUAUAAUUCUCAUUUAGUACGCAAUGAGGGGAGAAUAUACACUCCCACCUGACUAUUUUGAAAAUACCCAUUUAGGACACAAGCAGACUCAAAUCCUGAGCUGGGUGGUGCUCCGCUGGCAUUGCUGGCCUUAGGAGAAUGACUCCAGUGUAAGGGGAUUGUUGGGUGGGAUAGAGCCAGUGUUGCAGCUGAUAUAGAUCAGCUGGAUGUAUAUGUAGGGUGUCCCAAUGUCCUGAUGAUGCCCAGCUAGAGUCCUGGGCCCAAUGGCUACUGCAACAAGCUAAAGCAAUGCAUAGGGUGACUAGCCAGGAUCCA